GACGAACGCUGGCGGCGUGCUUAACACAUGCAAGUCGAACGGAAAGGCCCUGUUUUUGUGUGCUCGUCUGGUGACGGACUGGUUAGCAACACGUUAGUAUCCCCUCCUUGACUGUGGGAUUUCUUCAUGCAAGUGCUUCUACUACCGGCUAGGAGCUCCUGCUUCUUGGUGGGUGUUAGUUAGCUUCGGCGGUUGGGGAUGGACUCGCGGCUCAUCAGCUUGUUGGUGGGGUAGUGGCUUACCAAGGCUAUGACGGGUAGCCGGCCUGAGAGGGUGACCGGCCACAUUGGGACUGAGAUACGGCCCAGACUCCUACGGGAGGCAGCAGUGGGGAAUAUUGCACAAUGGGCGGAAGCCUGAUGCAGCAACGCAGCGUGCGGGAUGACGGCCUUCGGGUUGUAAACCGCUUUCGCCUGUGACGAAGCGUGAGUGACGGUAAUGGGUAAAGAAGCACCGGCUAACUACGUG
rnacentral:rRNA from 1 species